GACGAACGCUGGCGGCGUGCUUAACACAUGCAAGUCGAGCGAUGAAGUUCCUUCGGGAACGGAUUAGCGGCGAACGGGUGAGGAACACGUGAGGAAUCUGCCUUCUACUCUGGGAUAACUCCGGGAAACCGGGGCUAAUACCGGAUACGAAACCUGAUGGCAUCAUCGGGUUUGGAAAGUUUUUCGGUAGAAGAUGACCUCGCGGCCUAUCAGCUUGUUGGUGAGGUAAUGGCUCACCAAGGCGACGACGGGUAGCCGGCCUGAGAGGGCGACCGGCCACACUGGGACUGAGACACGGCCCAGACUCCUACGGGAGGCAGCAGUGGGGAAUAUUGGGCAAUGGAGGAAACUCUGACCCAGCGACGCCGCGUGCGGGAUGAAGGCCUUCGGGUUGUAAACCGCUUUCAGCAGGGAAGAAGCGAAAGUGACGGUACCUGCAGAAGAAGCACCGGCUAACUAUGUGCCAGCAGCCGCGGUAAUACAUAGGGUGCAAGCGUUGU
rnacentral:rRNA from 1 species